AUACAGAGGGUGCAAGCGUUAAUCGGAAUUACUGGGCGUAAAGCGUGUGUAGGUGGUUAGAUAAGUUAGAUGUGAAAUCCCCGGGCUUAACCUGGGCACUGCGUUUAAGACUGUUUAGCUAGAGUACUGUAGAGGAUAGUGGAAUUUCCAGUGUAGCGGUGAAAUGCGUAGAUACUGGAAGGAACACCAGUGGCGAAGGCGACUAUCUGGAUAGAUACUGACACUGAGACACGAAAGCGUGGGGAGC
rnacentral:rRNA from 1 species